UACCAGCACCCCGAGUGGUCGGGACGAUUAUUGGGCCUAAAGCAUCCGUAGCCGGUUCUACAAGUCUUCCGUUAAAUCCACCUGCUUAACAGAUGGGCUGCGGAGGAUACUAUAGAGCUAGGAGGCGGGAGAGGCAAGCGGUACUUAGUGGGUAGGGGUAAAAUCCGUUGAUCCAUUGAAGACCACCAGUGGCGAAGGCGGCUUGCCAGAACGCACUCGACGGUGAGGGAUGAAAGCUGGGGGAGCAAACCGGGAUAGA
rnacentral:rRNA from 1 species